AAAUGGGUUAACAUUAUCCAAAUAGGAAUCAUCAUGGGAAUCAAAAGAAUCGUUUACGAAUGGAUUUUUUUUAUUUAUGUAGGAAGAGGUAUCUUUAGGAUUAUCUUUAAGGGGAAUGAAAUCGGUAUUAUCAGGGCUAGAGCUUGGAUCUGAGUUUGAGCUUGAUGACAUUACACUUCUUAAUUUUUUUUAAAUGAUGAAAAAAGACUGAAGGAAUGUAGAAAACGUCGAAAACCAGAACCUCUUAAGAGUCAAGGAGCUUCUCUA